UACGUAGGUGGCGAGCGUUGUACGGAUUUACUGGGAGUAAAGGGAGCGUAGGCGGACUUUUAAGUGAGAUGUGAAAUACCCGGGCUUAACUUGGGUGCUGCAUUUCAAACUGGAAGUCUAGAGUGCAGGAGAGGAGAAUGGAAUUCCUAGUGUAGCGGUGAAAUGCGUAGAGAUUAGGAAGAACACCAGUGGCGAAGGCGAUUCUCUGGACUGUAACUGACGCUGAGGCUCGAAAGCGUGGGGAGCAAACAGGAUUAGAUACCCUGGUAGU
rnacentral:rRNA from 1 species